GACGAACGCUGGCGGCGUGCCUAAUACAUGCAAGUCGAACGAGUGGCGGACGGGUGAGUAAUGUCUGGGAAACUGCCCGAUGGAGGGGGAUAACUAUUGGAAACGGUAGCUAAUACCGCAUACCAUCGGAUGUGCCUAGAUGGGAUUAGUUAGGAGGUGGGGUAACGGCUCACCUAGGCGACGAGCCCUAGCUGGUCUGAGAGGAUGACGAGCCACACGGGAACUGAGACACGGUCCAGACUCCUACGGGAGGCAGCAGUGGGGAAUAUUGCACAAUGGGCGCAAGCCUGAUGCAGCCAUGCCGCGGGUAUGAAGAAGGCCUUCGGGUUGUAAAGUACUUUCAGCGGGGAGGCGGUACUCGCAGAAGAAGCACCGGCUAACUCCGUGCCAGCAGCCGCGGUAAUUC
rnacentral:rRNA from 1 species